rnacentral:misc_RNA from 1 species
UACAGAGGGUGCGAGCGUUGUUCGGAAUUAUUGGGCGUAAAGCGCAUGUAGGCGGCUUGUUAAGUCGCGUGUGGAAUCUCCAGGCUCAACCUGGAAAGUGCGCGCGAAACUGGCGAGCUUGAGUGUCGGAGAGGGUGGCGGAAUUCCCGGUGUAGAGGUGAAAUUCGUAGAUAUCGGGAGGAACACCAGAGGCGAAGGCGGCCACCUGGACGACUACUGACGCUGAGACGCGAAAGCGUGGGGAGCAAACAGG